CCAUGUCACUACUGUACAUGCUUCCUUCUUAAAACGGCCUGCUUGAUGGAGGAGGCUGACCCUCCCAGACACAGGAAGACACUUCUUCAGUCAAGGGUGCAUAAAUAUAUGUCCCUCUUAGAACCCUUAAGCAAAUUCUAGAAGUGCCUAUGCAGAAGAGUAUAAGGAAAGCUUCCAAGAUACUAGACACAACCAAUGGAGACAGUGAAUU
rnacentral:snRNA from 1 species